UUCAGAAAGAAAUGAGACAGCCAGGGUGUGCAGCGAGCUGUCAUCAGAUGUAGAAUCAAAAGAACAUAAUGAGGGAGCUGACAAGGUGCCCGACAGUGCAACAGUCGGGGAUGAUGAUGAUUCAGAAUCAGAUGAGGACAUGUUCAGAGGAUAAAGAGGAUAAAGAAAGAUGCCCUUUGAAAAGAAUAUCCAUGAUAUGCACCUGCUGUUCUUGUAUGAAGCAAGAUUUUUUAAAAAAGACUGUAAAAAGUAAGGAGGGUGACCAGCAGAGCUGCGAAGAUGACAUUAUAGCCAUUAUUAUUAUUAUUUAUUGUAGUAAAAACCAUUUACCAUUGCUUGAAAGAACAGCUUUUUGAAAACUGUACAGCCUGUGCAGUUGAUAUUCCCAAUCCACUUAGUCACCCUUGUAUCAUUUGGGGUUGCUCAGAAGUAUUUCACCAGAUUAGACAUAUUUAUUCUAAACUGAUGUGGCCCGGAUCCUAAAUAUAAUUAUAGCUGAAGGCUACAAACUGAAAAAGCUUAACAUGACCAUUGAAAUUGUAAUUGAAGUGGUCAAAAUGAUCAGGGAGGUUGCAGGGACGUCAGACCCGGUGGCAUUGCUGGUAGACCUGUCAAAUAAGGUGGCAGCCAAAAUUGGCUGAUCAGUGUGUAGCAGGGUUCGUAAAAUGGAUUCUAAAACUUUUUACAUGCCAGGUCCUUACCCUAAAGGGUCAAAAAAAAAUAAACCUGAAUAUUGAUUAAGAUGCAUUGUAAAAUAAAAAAGCUUGUAUAAUCAUUCCCUUUGCUUUUGCAUUAAAUAAAAGUGUAUAUCUGUAUCCUAUAUUACU